rnacentral:miRNA from 1 species
AGGAUUGCCUGAGCCUAGGAGGUUGAGGCUGCAGUGAGCUGUAAUCAUGCCACUGCACUCCAGCCUGAGUGACAGAGUGAGACC